UACGUAGGGUGCAAGCGUUGUCCGGAAUUAUUGGGCGUAAAGAGCGUGUAGGCGGCCAGGUAGGUCUGCUGUGAAAACUCGAGGCUCAACCUCGAGACGCCGAUGGAAACCACCUGGCUAGAGUCCGGAAGAGGAGAGUGGAAUUCCUGGUGUAGCGGUGAAAUGCGCAGAUAUCAGGAAGAACACCCGUGGCUAAGGCGGCUCUCUAGUACGGUACUGACGCUGAGACGCGAAAGCGUGGGGAGCGAACAGG
rnacentral:rRNA from 1 species